rnacentral:rRNA from 1 species
UAGGGAAUCUUCGGCAAUGGACGGAAGUCUGACCGAGCAACGCCGCGUGAGUGAAGAAGGUUUUCGGAUCGUAAAGCUCUGUUGUAAGAGAAGAACGAGUGUGAGAGUGGAAAGUUCACACUGUGACGGUAUCUUACCAGAAAGGGACGGCUAACUACGUGCCAGCAGCCGCGGUAAUACGUAGGUCCCGAGCGUUGUCCGGAUUUAUUGGGCGUAAAGCGAACGCAGGCGGUUAGAUAAGUCUGAAGUUAAAGGCUGUGGCUUAACCAUGGUAGGCUUUGGAAACUGUUUAACUUGAGUGCAAGAGGGGAGAGUGGAAUUCCAUGUGUAGCGGUGAAAUGCGUAGAUAUAUGGAGGAACACCGGUGGCGAAAGCGGCUCUCUGGCUUGUAACUGACGCUGAGGCUCGAAAGCGUGGGGAGCAAACAGGAUUAGAUACCCUGGUAGUCCACGCUGUAAACGAUGAGUGCUAGGUGUUAGACCCUUUCCGGGGUUUAGUGCCGUAGCUAACGCAUUAAGCACUCCGCCUGGGGAGUACGACCGCAAGGUUG